rnacentral:rRNA from 1 species
GGACUACCAGGGUAUCUAAUCCUGUUUGAUCCCCGCACUUUCGUGUAUGAGUGUCAAUAUUGGACCAGGUCGCCGCCUUCGCCACCGGUGUUCCUCCUGAUAUCUACGUAUUUCACCACUACACCAGGAAUUCCACGACCCUCUUCCAUAUUCAAGUUUUGUAGUUUUAAAUGCACUUCUUGGGUUAAGCCCAAGGCUUUCACAUCUAACUUACAGAACCACCUGCACACGCUUUACGCCCAAUGAUUCCGAACAACGCUAGGACCCCCCGUCUUACCGCGGCUGCUGGCAC